GAUGAACGCUGGCGGCGUGCCUAAUACAUGCAAGUCGAGCGAACGGACGAGAAGCUUGCUUCUCUGAUGUUAGCGGCGGACGGGUGAGUAACACGUGGAUAACCUACCUAUAAGACUGGGAUAACUUCGGGAAACCGGAGCUAAUACCGGAUAAUAUUUUGAACCGCAUGGUUCAAAAGUGGAAGACGGUCUUGCUGUCACUUAUAGAUGGAUCCGCGCUGCAUUAGCUAGUUGGUAAGGUAACGGCUUACCAAGGCAACGAUGCAUAGCCGACCUGAGAGGGUGAUCGGCCGCACUGGAACUGAGACACGGUCCAGACUCCUACGGGAGGCAGCAGUAGGGAAUCUUCCGCAAUGGGCGAAAGCCUGACGGAGCAACGCCGCGUGAGUGAUGAAGGUCUUCGGAUCGUAAAACUCUGUUAUUAGGGAAGAACAUAUGUGUAAGUAACUGUGCACAUCUUGACGGUACCUAAUCAGAAAGCCACGGCUAACUACGUG
rnacentral:rRNA from 1 species